UGCAAGUCGAACGGUAACCGGUCUUUCGGGAUGCUGACGAGUGGCGAACGGGUGAGUAAUACAUCGGAACGUGCCUAGUAGUGGGGGAUAACUACUUGAAAGAGUGGCUAAUACCGCAUGACAUCUAAGGAUAAAAGCAGGGGACCUUCGGGCCUUGUGCUACUAGAGCGGCCGAUGGCAGAUUAGGUAGUUGGUGGGAUAAAAGCUUACCAAGCCAACGAUCUGUAGCUGGUUUGAGAGGACGAUCAGCCCCCCUGGGACUGAGACGCGGCCCCGACUCCUACGGGAGGCAGCAGUGGGGAAUUUUGGACAAUGGGCGCAAGCCUGAUCCAGCAAUGCCGCGUGCAGGAUGAAGGCCUUCGGGUUGUAAACUGCUUUUGUACGGAACGAAAAGCUUUGGGCUAAUACCUCGGAGUCAUGACGGUUCCAGGAGAAUAAGCCCCGGCUAACUACGUG
rnacentral:rRNA from 1 species